rnacentral:rRNA from 1 species
UAUUCCAUGCACGAACAUUCAAGCGAAACGCCUGUUUGAAGCACUCUGAUUUGUUCAAAGUAAACUCGCCAGCCCACCGACGCCGACCGGUAAAGGCCAACGCCGGGGAAAGACCGGCAGAAAAGCCAACCAAACCAGUAACACACAAAGUGUGCACCGGACGGCUAGCACAGAUCCAACUACGAGCUUUUUAACCGCAGCAAUAAUUCUAUGCAUUUUGAGAGCUGGAAUUACCGCGGCUGCUGGCACCAGACUUGCCCUCUCAUAGAUACUCGUUAAAGGGUUUAAAUUGUACCCAUUCCGAUGACCGGCCUCAUAAGAGAUCGGUCUCGUUAUUUCUCGUCACUACCUCCUCGCGUUGAGAGUGGGUAAUUUGCGCGCCUGCUGCCAUCCUUAGACGUAGUGGCCA